UUUUUCCACAUGCAGCAUUUAGAUGCAUCCCUCACCCUUCCAUUCAUGGUCUACCACACCACCCUUUCCUUCCCAUUUCUCCUAACACACAUGGCAAGACACCCUCACUCCAGGCCCUCCUUCCUCAGCCUUAAAUUGCUAGUCCUGGCUCCCAGCUGGCCUUCCAGCUGCAUUUCUAUGUAAUCUGUGGAGGCCCCAGCUGUUUUCCGAUGGUUCAUUCUGAAUGGUUUUCAGUGACCCACCUCGUGUAAUUUCUGGUGUAACCCGACAUCUCCUACACCUUUGGCUCUUCACCAUCUACCUUCUGUUUCAGCAGAACAUCUUGGUUGAACAUCCACUCACAUGGCAUGGAACUCUAUCCUCUGGAGCUUUCCGAUGGCUGUCUACCUGGAACGGCUUUUCUCCUUCCUUGGCCCUAGAACACACUAACUGCCCUUCAGACCCAGCUUGAGUUCCACCUCCUCUGGGAAGCCUCCCUAAAUUUUCUCUCCCCCUGAGUUCUUAACACUAUUCUCAUACCGAGUCUCAUUUGCUUCACCUUGGAAACAAAAGUCCUUUGGGGAUUCUUCAGUGGCCCCAAUGGCACCUAGGAACUUGUCACGGGUCCCCUGAUUGUUCAACACAUAUUUGUGGUGUUGCAAACUCAAAAGAAAAGGAAGUGAUAGACUGAUCUCGUAUUUGAAAUAUUUGGGGAGAAGGUCCCCAGCGUGUCCUUCAGAGUCACUUCGUUUCUCCUCAACUAAAGGAGAAUUCCCUCAGGAAACCAGCCUGCUCAGAGGACUAUGUUCCCCUCUUUCAGUUGCAACAUUGGUGCAAUGAAAGUAGAGACAGAACUUCGUGGUGGCUCUGAAAACAUUAACUAAGACAAUAAUAAAUUAACACAAUAGUCGACUAAUAGCACCGUGAUGCUUUCAUGUAUGAAUUGGAAUGUGAACACUGAGAUUUUCAUUUCAUGGUUGAAAAAUACACGAGUUGACCCAAAUACUAAUGUCUGCCUUUCCGUCAUUUACAUAUCAUGGGUCAGUAAUCAUUUCUUGCCUAAAUGGCUUUCCAAAUGAAAAGCUGUAAUAUUGUAAUGGUUUAUCAUAUUUACAAACAUCGCAUUGUGCUACCCACUUGGUGCUUUGGAUUCGCAAACAAGCAGAUCCCAUUCUCUGAGAAGGCAGGGGCAGUGCCUGAGAGGAGUGAACAGAGGUCCCCGAGGAGAGAUCCAUUUGUUUUUUUCCUCCCUGACCUGCACUAGUCCGAGAUCCUCUCCUCUGCUGGGACCUCCUCCAGCCACCUCAUUUCUCCUUCGGGCCAUUGGGUCACCAGGGGCCAGGGAAGGCUUCUGCCUAUGUUUCGAUGAGAAGGCAAGACAUCUAGCGGCUUUGCAAACAUCUCUUUGGGACGUGGGGACUACUGAGAGCUGAGUGUGAUAUUUGGGAAAGGUAAUGCAACCUGAUUUUUAUUGAAGUUUGGAACAACAUCACGUGAACAAUGUAAGGUGGCUUCCCCCCUCAUUUUAAUCCCAGGGUAAUCCAAAUCAGCACAUGACUUAACCUACACCCCAUCCUUGUUCCUGGACUUCUUCACAGUGUCCUGAGUUACCUGCUCCAUUGGGUGUCUUGCUGUUGUUGUCAUUGGGCGCCGUGUCUCUUAGAAAUCUGUGUUUUUAAGAGAUAAUAGAGUUAGAGCCAUAGAUUAAAUGAGGAGCUGGAAUAGCGAUUACACCCUGGCCCAGCAGGCUUGGUGUACACAUCGGCCUUGCUCUUUAAUUAUAACUUGGGGUGGAAUGUCCGCAGCGAGCGUUUGUGGGGACAGUCCCCCCCCCAAUCUUCGUUCACACACACGCACACACUCAGCUCAAAGUGUUCCCUAGCCAACACCUCCUUCACCGGGCUUCUGUUGCUCCUACUUUGGCAGACACUUAAAAGGAAACUAAGGGAAAAAACGCUGAGGUCAUUUAUUAGACUCUCCUGUGAAUUUGGUUUCAGGACUAGAAAGCCGUGCAGUAGUUGUGUGAUUUAUGAAAUCCCUCCCGCUGCUGCUUUUCCUUAUUUUUAGGGUGAUGUACAAGAAGUGAGGUAGCUAAGAGUUGACUGGUCGCAUUUCACACCAUCGCCUGUGAGUCCUGGGACGGAAGGGCAUAAAAACGAUAAUGUGGACAGAGACGUCGUGGGGAGGGAUUUAGCUGUUAAUCGAAAUUUCUCCUUCAGACCCUCUGGGAAAAAAAGGCUACCUUUCGAAGGAUGAAUCUCUUUGUUUUCUAUUUGGCCCCCAUGUUUUAAAAAGGUUAAGGUUGUGUGUGCACAUGUGCGCACACUUGUGUGUGUCUGUGUGUGUGUGUUUGUGUGUGUCUGUGUCUGUGUGUGUGUAAGAGAGGAACAGGCCGAAAAGGAGGGAGUGGAAAAUAAUUGUUAUCAUCCCAAAGACCUUCUUUUCUAGCUGGCUGCAGCUCUGUUUAUGAAAUGCCAUAACAAAAGUGAGCUCACGCCUGUGUGCCUCUAUGGCGCAAGGUUCCUGGGUGCCAGAUGGGCACUCUGUGACUGUAUGAGCGUGGAUUAUUUCAUUUCCUACAUCUGGGACUCCGAGCGGCUGCCCAGAACGCCACAGGAGAGAGGCACUGCUUCUCAGCUGGGGGCACCUACCUUCACUGGGGAUCCCAGAGCAACCGAGGGGACGAGGCUGGCAGUUCCCAAGUGAAAUGUAAAAGUUCACACACACCAGGGCCAUGGGGAAACUUUUAGAACCCAGAUCAAGAUAGAAAUAAACAAUAACCAUCAGCUGCAGUUAAAAAAAAAAAAAA
rnacentral:lncRNA from 1 species